UACGUAGGGUCCGAGCGUUGUCCGGAAUUAUUGGGCGUAAAGGGCUCGUAGGCGGUUUGUCACGUCGGAAGUGAAAUCUUACAGCUUAACUGUGAACUUGCUCUCGAUACGGGCAGACUUGAGGCAUUCAGGGGAGAACGGAAUUCCUGGUGUAGCGGUGAAAUGCGCAGAUAUCAGGAGGAACACCGGUGGCGAAGGCGGUUCUCUGGGAAUGUACUGACGCUGAGGAGCGAAAGUGUGGGGAGCGAACAGG
rnacentral:rRNA from 1 species